CGCAUCUAUAUGUUGGCUUUCCAAAGUUCCAUAUCGUGCUAUCAUAACUUCUGGACGUAGUGCUGCUGCUUGUUUCUAUGAUGUUGCUUUGAAGGUCAUUGUCCCUCCCAUUUCUCCUUGAACGCUUGACAUCUCUUAUUUCAUUGAUUUGUUCCUUUCUCUUCCGUGAAGCAUCUUCUUCUAUUUUAUUGGUUGUUUCAUGUGUAUUCCUGCAUCUCUUACUCCUUUUUUCUUGUAGUUGUUGUUUCCUCCUGAUAAUAGCUUCUUUAGCUUCUUUUGCAAGUGGGCCUGCUGAUUUUGAUGUAUACUGUCCCUUCAUUUCUGCAUUUGAUAUUCUUUUAGCAAUAUAGUAUCAAAUAUUUGAAAGGUACUUUAUGCACAAUGUCAUAAACAAAACAAUGUAUGCACUAAAUAAGAGAUGCUGGCUGCAUGUAGAAACAACCUAUAAUUCUUAUCAAUCAUGCUUUUCAGGAUUGUUGUGUUGCGUGGUUCGAGCUGCAGUGUAUGGCAUUAUUGGUGUGACAGUGUGGUUGUUUCUCAGUGCACGACAAUUGCUCCAUGGGAAUUACUACGGCGAAGUACUCUCAAAGUCAUUUUUAGCACUACACGUAAAAUUAUUUGGUUUUGUAAUAUUUACAAAGGGAAAUCUUUCAAAUGUAUAUUUUAGAGAAGUACAAAAAAUUAGUCAUUACAUGAAGAUAUAAAAAGGUGAAUGAUAUACCUGAUAGUGUCUUCUUGCCUUGGUUUUUAAAAUUUGUAAAGCUUCACACGCUUCUGCUAAUAAAUUAUUGUCACAAUUGUAUCUUUGCUGCAAAGCAAAUCCUGUACUGAUCCUGGAAAGUAUUUCGUGUGAUGUACAAAAUUAUUAGAGCAUAUCUUUCUAUUGCUGCCAUGAUUUUAUCAGUCUGUAUGUCACUUUUAGUUCAUCACAGAAGCUAGUACUGUUUUCUAAAAGAAAAUAGAGCUUAUGUGAAGAGCCAAGGCAUGACGUGUGAGAAUAGCUUAU
rnacentral:lncRNA from 1 species